rnacentral:rRNA from 1 species
ACCUACGGGGGGCAGCAGUGGGGAAUAUUGCGCAAUGGGCGAAAGCCUGACGCAGCGACGCCGCGUGAGGGAUGAAGGUCUUCGGAUCGUAAACCUCUGUCAGCAGGGAAGAACGGUCACUGUGCUAAUCAGCAGUGAAUUGACGGUACCUGCAAAGGAAGCACCGGCUAACUCCGUGCCAGCAGCCGCGGUGAUACGGAGGGUGCGAGCGUUAAUCGGAAUUACUGGGCGUAAAGCGCUCGUAGGCGGUAUGUCAAGUCAAGGGUGAAAUCCCCGCGCUCAACGCGGGAACUGCCUUUGAAACU